CCGAGUCUGGGAACCCCUGGGAACUGGGGAUAAUACCGGAUAGGCCAUCUAUGCUGGAAGGCUUGGUGGUUUAAACUUGCGGGGCUUUUGGAUGGGUCUGCGGCUGAUUAGGUUGUUGCCGGUGUAACGUACCGUCAAGCCUGUAAUCAGUACGGGUUGUGGGAGCAAGAGCCCGGAGAUGGAUUCUGAGACACGAAUCCAGGCCCUACGGGGCGCGGCAGGCGCGAAAACUCUACAAUGCAGGCAACUGCGAUAGGGGAACAUCGAGUGAUCCUCAUAUUGGGGGUCUGUCCACCCGUCUAAAAAACGGGUGUUAGCAAGGGCCGGGCAAGACCGGUGCCAGCCGCCGCGGUAAUACCGGCGGCUCGAGUGGUGGCCGAUAUUAUUGAGUCUAAAGGGUCCGUAGCCGGCUUUGCAAGUCUCUCGGGAAAUCCAGCGGCUUAACCGUUGGUCGUCCGGGGGGUACUACAUUGCUUGGGACUGGGAGAGGUAGGAGGUACUCAGGGGGUAGGAGUGAAAUCCUGUAAUCCUUUGGGGACCACCGGUGGCGAAGGCGUCCUACCAGAACAGGUCCGACGGUGAGGGACGAAAGCUAGGGGCACGAACCGGAUUAGAUACCCGGGUAGUCCUAGCCGUAAACGAUGCUCGCUAGGUGUCACAACAGUCGUGAAUUGUUGUGGUGCCGUAGGGAAGCCGUGAAGCGAGCCACUUGGGAAGUACGACCGCAAGGUUGAAACUUAAAGGAAUUGGCGGGGGAGCAC
rnacentral:rRNA from 1 species